rnacentral:rRNA from 1 species
UACGUAGGGUGCAAGCGUUGUCCGGAAUUAUUGGGCGUAAAGAGCUCGUAGGCGGUCUGUCGCGUCGGCUGUGAAAUCCCGAGGCUCAACCUCGGGUCUGCAGUCGAUACGGGCAAACUAGAGUAUUGCAGGGGAGACUGGAAUUCCUGGUGUAGCGGUGAAAUGCGCAGAUAUCAGGAGGAACACCGGUGGCGAAGGCGGAUCUCUGGGCCGAUACUGACGCUGAGGAGCGAAAGCGUGGGGAGCAAACGGGG